CGACCUCAGAUCAGACGUGGCGACCCGCUGAAUUUAAGCAUAUUAGUCAGCGGAGGAAAAGAAACUAACCAGGAUUCCCUCAGUAACGGCGAGUGAACAGGGAAGAGCCCAGCGCCGAAUCCCCGCCGCGCGUCGCGGCGUGGGAAAUGUGGCGUACGGAAGACCCACUCCCCGGCGCCGCUCGUGGGGGGCCCAAGUCCUUCUGAUCGAGGCCCAGCCCGUGGACGGUGUGAGGCCGGUAGCGGCCCCCGGCGCGCCGGGCUCGGGUCUUCCCGGAGUCGGGUUGCUUGGGAAUGCAGCCCAAAGCGGGUGGUAAACUCCAUCUAAGGCUAAAUACCGGCACGAGACCGAUAGUCAACAAGUACCGUAAGGGAAAGUUGAAAAGAACUCUGAAGAGAGAGUUCAACAGUACCUGAAACUGCUGAAAGGGAAUCGAAUCGUUUCCAGUGUCUAUAAUCCAUGACAUAUUUCAUUGGCGCGUGAAUGCGUGCAGCGUUUUGGAAGUGGGUUUCCUCUCCUGGCGUUGUUGUGCGUUUGCUUGCUGGUGCCCUGUGUUGUGGUGGGACGUCAGAGUCAGUUCGUAUGCCGCGGGAAAUGGCUGUCAGGGAGGUAGGUCGCUUCGGUGGCUGUUAUAGCCUGGC
rnacentral:ncRNA from 1 species